UCGAGAAUCUUUCGCAAUGGGCGAAAGCCUGACGAAGCGACGCCGUGUGUGCGAUGAAGGCCUUCGGGUUGUAAAGCACUUUCGCCUGGGAACAAGAGAAGUUGACUAAUAUUCAGCUAAUUUGAGGGUACUAGGUAAAGAAGCACCGGCUAACUCCGUGCCAGCAGCUGCGGUAAUACGGAGGGUGCAAGCAUUAAUCGGAUUUAUUGGGCGUGAAGAGCGCGUAGGUGGGAAAGAAAGUUGGUUGUGAAAGCUCGAGGCUCAACCUCGAAACCGCAUCCAAAACUCCUUUUCUAGAGGAUGGACGGAGAAAAUGGAAUUCCACGUGUAGCGGUGAAAUGCGUAGAUAUGUGGAAGAACACCAGUGGCGAAGGCGAUUUUCUAGUUUAUUCCUGACACUCAUGCGCGAAAGCAAGGGGAGCAAACAGGAUUAGAUACCCGUGUAGUCC
rnacentral:rRNA from 1 species